rnacentral:rRNA from 1 species
UCCCGUUGAUCCUGCGGGAGGUUGCUGCUAUUGGGGUUCGACUAAGCCAUGCAAGUCAGAGAGUAAUCUCGGCGAAAUGCUCAGUAACACGUCGAUAAUCUGCCCUUAGGACCGGGAUAACCUUGGAAAACUGAGGAUAAUACCGGAUAUGGGAUAAAUAUUGGAAUAUAUUAUCCUAUAAAGCUACGGUGCCUAAGGAUGAGUCGGCGGUUGAUUAGGUUGUUGGUGAGGUAAUGGCUCACCAAGCCGAAGAUCGAUAGAGGCCUUGAGAGAGGUAGCCUCGAGAAGGGUACUGAUAUACUGACCCUAGCCCUACGGGGUGCAGCAGGCGCGUAACCUUUACAAUGCACGUAAGUGUGAUAGGGGAACCCCAAGUGCUCUACAUUAGUAGAGCUUUUUUCAAGAGCAAACAUCUUGAAGAAUAAGUGGUGGGAAAGACUGGUGCCAGCAGCCGCGGUAACACCAGCGCCACGAGUAGCAAUCAGUUUUAUUGGGCCUAAAGCGUCCGUAGCUGGUUGAAUAAAUCUUUUGUGAAAUUGUCGGGCUAAACCUGACAGCGUGCAGAAGACACUGUUCAACUUGGGACCGGGAGGAGUCAGAGGUAUUCGGUGGGUAGCGGUAAAAUGCUAUAAUCCUCCGAAGACCACCUGUGGCGAAGGCGUCUGACUAGAACGGGUCCGACAGUGAGGGACGAAAGCCAGGGGAGCAAUCCGGAUUAGAUACCCGAGUAGUCCUGGCCGUAAACGCUGCGAGCUAAGUGUUGCAUAUUCUUCGUGAAUAUGCAGUGUUGUAACGAAGGUGUUAAGCUCGCCGCCUGGGAAGUAUGGUCGCAAGACUGAAACUUAAAGGAAUUGGCGGGGGAGCACCACAAGGGGUGCGGCGUGCGGUUUAAUCUAACUCAACGCAGAGAAUCUCACCAGAAGCGACGGCAGGAUGAAAGUCAGAUUGAAGGUUUUACUUGACGAGCCGAGAGGUAGUGCAUGGCCGUCGUCAGCUCGUGCCGUAAGGUGUCCUGUUAAGUCAGGCAACGAGCGAGACCUGUACCUACAAUUGCUAACGACUCAUCCGUGGGGAUUGAGCACAUUGUAGGGACUGCCUGUGAAAACAGGAGGAAGGUGCAGGCUACGGUAGGUCUGUAUGCUCCGAAUCUUCUGGGCUACACGCGCGCAACAAUGGUAGGAACAAUGGGACACAACUCCGAAAGGAGAAGUUAAUCCUCUAAAUCCUAUCUAAGUACAGAUCGUGGAUUGUAAUUCAUCCACGUGACGAUGGAAUCCCUAGUAAUCGGAAUUCAUCAUAUUCCGGUGAAUAUGUCCCUGCUCCUUGCACACACCGCCCGUCAAACCAACCGAGCAGGGUCUUGGUAAGGGUUUGUUUAUUUGACAAAUUCGAAUCUAGGCUCAGUGAGGUGGGUUAAGUCGUCACAAGGUA